GUCCACACCGUAAACGUUGGGCGCUAGGUGUGGGAUCCAUUCCACGGGUUCCGUGCCGCAGCUAACGCAUUAAGCGCCCCGCCUGGGGAGUACGGCCGCAAGGCUAAAACUCAAAGGAAUUGACGGGGGCCCGCACAAGCGGCGGAGCAUGCGGAUUAAUUCGAUGCAACGCGAAGAACCUUACCUGGGUUUGACAUAUGCCGGAAAGCUCCAUAGAUGGAGCCCCUUUUGUCGGUAUACAGGUGGUGCAUGGCUGUCGU
rnacentral:rRNA from 1 species